rnacentral:rRNA from 1 species
AUGAAUGUCAUCGACAACAUCAAGGCGCAGGUCGAGGCCGCGUGCAAGCAGACUGUCUCCUGCGCCGACAUCCUCGCCGUCGCUGCCCGUGACUCCGUCGUCGCCCUGGGAGGGCCAUCGUGGACCGUUCCUCUGGGGAGGAGGGACUCGACGACGGCGAGCCUGUCGCUGGCCAACAGCGACCUGCCGGCACCGUCCUUCGACGUCGCCAACCUCACCGCCAACUUCGCCGCCAAGGGGCUCAGCGUGACCGACAUGGUCGCCCUCUCUGGCGGCCAUACGAUCGGACAAUCGCAGUGCCGGUUUUUCAGGAGCAGGCUCUACAACGAGACCAACAUCGCCGUGGCCUUCGCGACAUCUCUCAAGGCCAACUGCCCCCGGACGACCAGCUCCGGCAACAGUAGCCUGGCGCCGCUGGACACGACGACGCCCAACGGGUUCGACAACGCGUACUACAGCAACCUGAUGUCCCAGAAGGGGCUCCUGCACUCCGACCAGGUGCUGAUCAACGACGGACGCACCGCCGGCCUGGUCCGGACGUACUCGUCGGCGUCGGCGCAGUUCAACGGGGACUUCGCGGCGGCCAUGGUGAGGAUGGGGAACAUCAGCCCGCUCACCGGAGCGCAGGGGCAGAUCAGGCUAAGCUGCUCCAGGGUGAACUAA